rnacentral:hammerhead_ribozyme from 1 species
AUCCAACUGAUGAGUUCACAAUAAGACGAAACGCUCUUCUUAGAU